rnacentral:rRNA from 1 species
GAUAUUGUUCAUGACGAGAUUUGAACCACCCAAUAGCGNGCAGGAUGACGCCCCUAUGGGGUUGUAAACNGCUUUUAAAACAGGGAUAAAGUUCANUACGNGUAGUGUUUUGUAGGUACUGUAUGAAUAAGGACCGGCUAAUUCCGUGCCAGCAGCCGCGGUAAUACGGAAGGUCCGGGCGUUAUCCGGAUUUAUUGGGUUUAAAGGGAGCGCAGGCUGAUGAUUAAGCGUGACGUGAAANGUAGCCGCUCAACGGCUGAACUGCGUCGCGAACUGGUUAUCUUGAGUGAGUUCGAUGUUGGCGGAAUUCGUGGUGUAGCGGUGAAAUGCUUAGAUAUCACGAAGAACUCCGAUUGCGAAGGCAGCCAACAAGGCCUUUACUGACGCUAAAGCUCGAAGGUGCGGGUAUCGAACAGGAUUAGAUACCCCUGGUAGUCCGCACGGUAAACGAUGGAUGCCCGCUGUUUGCGAUAUACCGUGAGCGGCCAAGAGAAAUCGUUAAGCAUCCCACCUGGGGAGUACGCCGGCAACUGGNA